rnacentral:rRNA from 1 species
GACGAACGCCGGCGGCGUGCUUAACACAUGCAAGUCGAACGGGAAGUCCCUGCUUUUGUGGGGGGCUCGAGUGUCGAACGGGAGAGUAAGACGUGAGUAGCCGGCCAUUGACUGUAGGAUAACGUCAGUAAACUGGGGCUAAUACCGGAUAAGAGCGCCUGCGGCAUGGUGGGGGUUGGAAAGUUUCGGCGUUUGGGGAUGGACUCGCGGCUUAUAAGGUUGUUGUUGGGGGAGUGUCUUACCAAGGAUUUGACGGGUAGCCGGCCGGAGCGGGUGACCGGCAACAUUGCGACUGAUGUGACGCGGCGCAUACUACGGGAGGAGGCAGUGGGGAAGAUUGCACCGUGGGCGGAGGACUGAUGCAGCAGCGCCGCGUGCUGGAUGACGGCCUUCCGGUUGUAAUCCGCUUUCGCCUGUGACGAAGAGACAGUGACGGUAAUGGGUAAAGAAGCACCGGCUAACUCCGUG